AGUUUAUUAAUGUUCAAAUUAUUCCUUUGUUCUAAGCCACAGUGUGUUAAAGGUUAAGAUCUGAACUAUUUCUUACCCCAGAGCACUCCACACAGUAUGUCCCGUUGGGACAGGGAGA